UGAUUAAAGGGUCAAAAGGUAUCAUCGAUGCAUGCUUGCAUGCAAUUCGAUGUAUACCUUAGUGACCCUCAUAUCAUAAUAUUAAAUCGUAUGAUUAAUAUGAUAUUGAGGUUAAGCA
rnacentral:sRNA from 1 species